rnacentral:rRNA from 1 species
UACGAAGGGGGCUAGCGUUGUUCGGAAUUACUGGGCGUAAAGCGCGCGCAGGCGGCUAUCCAAGUCAGUGGUGAAAGCCCGGAGCUCAACUCCGGAACUGCCAUUGAAACUGUUUAGCUUGAGGAUGAGAGAGGUGAGUGGAAUUCCCAGUGUAGAGGUGAAAUUCGUAGAUAUUGGGAAGAACACCAGUGGCGAAGGCGGCUCACUGGCCCGGAACUGACGCUGAGGUACGAAAGCGUGGGGAGCAAACAGG